CAAAAAUACAGCAAAACUGCAAAUGGCUCAUUAAAACAGUUAUUGUUUACUUGAUAAUAAUUUUUACAUGGAUAACCGUGGUAAUUCUACAGCUAAUACAUGAGCAAAAUCUCAACUUUAUUAGAAGAGACGCAUUUAUUAGAUAAAAAGCCAGUUCAUGCUUUUACAGUAUGAAAAUUGGUGAUUUAUAAUAACUUAGCAAAUCGCAAAGUGAAAACAGGCGAUAAAUCAUUCAAGUUUCUGACCUAUCAGCUUUCGACGGUAUGGUAUUGGCUUACCGUGGCAGUGACGGUUAACGGGGGAUUAGGGUUCGAUUCCGGAGAGGGAGCCUGAGAAACGGCUACCACAUCUAAGGAAGGCAGCAGGCGCGCAAAUUACCCAAUUCUAACAGUUUGAGAGAGGUAGUAACAAGAAAUAACAAUACAAGGCAGUUAAAAUGCUUUGUAAUUGGAAUGAUAGAAAUUUAAACCCUUUUUAAAGUAUCAAUUGGAGGGCAAGUCUGGUGCCAGCAGCCGCGGUAAUUCCAGCUCCAAUAGCGUAUAUUAAAAUUGUUGCAGUUAAAAAGCUCGUAGUUGAAGUUCUGCUGAAAGUAACCGGUCUGCUUUUAAUAAAAGUGGUAUCUUGGUAUGUAUUUAGCAAUGAUGUCCUUUGAA
rnacentral:rRNA from 1 species